AGAGUUUGAUCCUGGCUCAGGACGAACGCUGGCGGCGUGCUUAACACAUGCAAGUCGAGCGGAAAGGCCCUUCGGGGUACUCGAGCGGCGAACGGGUGAGUAACACGUGGGCAACCUGCCCUCAGCUUCGGGAUAACUCCGGGAAACCGGGGCUAAUACUGGAUACGACCACUUCGGGCAUCUGAUGGUGGUGGAAAGUUCUUCGGCUGAGGAUGGGCCCGCGGCCUAUCAGCUUGUUGGUGGGGUGAUGGCCUACCAAGGCGACGACGGGUAGCCGGCCUGAGAGGGUGAUCGGCCACACUGGGACUGAGACACGGCCCAGACUCCUACGGGAGGCAGCAGUAGGGAAUCUUCCGCAAUGGACGCAAGUCUGACGGAGCAACGCCGCGUGAGUGACGAAGGUUUUCGGAUCGUAAAACUCUGUUGUGAGGGAAGAACAAGUGCCACGUAACUACUGGCACCUUGACGGUACCUCACCAGAAAGCCACGGCUAACUACGUGCCAGCAGCCGCGGUAAUACGUAGGUGGCAAGCGUUGUCCGGAAUUAUUGGGCGUAAAGCGCGCGCAGGCGGUCCUUUAAGUCUGAUGUGAAAGCCCACGGCUCAACCGUGGAGGGUCAUUGGAAACUGGAGGACUUGAGUGCAGAAGAGGAAAGUGGAAUUCCACGUGUAGCGGUGAAAUGCGUAGAGAUGUGGAGGAACACCAGUGGCGAAGGCGACUUUCUGGUCUGUAACUGACGCUGAGGCGCGAAAGCGUGGGGAGCAAACAGGAUUAGAUACCCCCGUAGUCC
rnacentral:rRNA from 1 species